UGGCGGCGGUGCUGGGCCAGGGGAAGGAAGGGACACGGAGGCCGCCCUCGCCCCGCCACCUCCUACCAGCUUCCCCCCAGCCCCGGCUCCGGGAGAUGUGCCGGGCGGGGGGCCCGGGUUCGCCGAGCCGCAGGAGAGACACGCUGGGCCGACCCCAGAGCGGCGCUGGACAGAGCCAACACAGAUCUAUAGAUUUCUUUGAACUCGGAAUCUCAUAGCACCAAUAUUUUUGCACAGAACUCUUACUUACAUGUCUCAUCGAAACUCCAGAACAAACAUCAAAAGCUUGUCAGCUCAUUUGCAGCUUACAUUUUUGGUUUCUUCCACAAAAAUGAUAAGCCAUCACCAAACUCAGAAAAUGAACAAAAUUCUGUUACCCUGGAAGUCCUGCUUGUGAAAGUUUGCCACAAAAAAAGAAAGGAUGUAUGUUGUCCAAUAAGGCAAGUUCCCACAGGUAAAAAGCAGGUGCCUUUGAAUCCUGACCUCAAUCAAACAAAACCUGGAAAUUUCCCGUCCCUUGCAGUUUCCAGUAAUGAAUUUGAACCUAGUAACAGCCACAUGGUGAAGUCUUACUCGUUGCUAUUUAGAGUGACUCGUCCAAGAAGAAGAGAGUUUAAUGGAAUGAUUAAUGGAGAAACCAUGAAAAUAUUGGUAAUUUUUUUUUUUACUAGAUUUUAUCACUGGAGAUUAAGAUGGUCAUUGAAAAUGAUUGUACCAGUGUUCCUUCAUGAUAGUCAUGGUGCUGAGUCUUAAAGCAAACAGUGAAUUCACCUCCACCUCAACAUUUUGUUGUGCAAAUUUUCAAACAUAAAGGACAAUGAGAAGUAUUUUAUAGUGAACACUUAUCUACUUACCUCUUAGAUUCAACAAUGAAUAUUUUAUUAUACUUGUUGCAUAUUUAUCCCCCUACCCAUCCCUCUUUUCUUCCAACAAUUGUGAAUUCAUCUUUGAGGUAUUCAUUCAACAAACACAUAGGUGCUGGGGAUGAUUUAAUUUAAUCGAAGAUGAUUAAAGCAUUCAGUCCUGUCCUCCAAAGUCUCACAACCUAGUGUAGGGAAAUAGACAUGAAAUAUAUCAUUGCUGCAAAAUGAUGAGUGGCAUAAUACAGGUAUAUGUGAAGUUCAGCAGAGAAACACGUUGGAAGAAAUAAUCUUUGACUCUUGAAGUAUUGUUUGAAGUUUUUGGGAGUUACCACGAGUGAGAAGGAGUUUGCCUAGCAAAGAUAAUUCUAAACAGAAACAUUAGCAUUUGCAAAGAUGUGGGGUUAAUGUUGUGAGUGUUAAAAAGAACAUAUAGUAAAAAUGCAAAAUUGGAAACGUGGUCUGUAUAUUAUUGCAACUUUAGUGUAAUUCCUACCUCAUUUGGGAUAAAUGUAGCAUGUUUUAUGUUAAGGGACCAUAUAUCGUAACACAUUUUUGUUCUAAUAUUUGAUUUAUGAGAAAUGUUUGUUAAAUUUAGAUGUCAGUGAAGAGCUUCCAGCCAGAAGAAAAUGAAAUCGUGAGGAUGGGGAAAAGACAUUUGUUGCACAAAUGACAGUAUUUGAUAAAAACAGGUAAUGUUGAUGAACAAGCGAGGCUCCCACAAUGUUCUGGAAAUGUUUUCAUUCUGAAG
rnacentral:lncRNA from 1 species